GGGGAUUUAGCUCAGUGGUAGAGCGCUUGCCUAGGAAGCGCAAGGCCCUGGGUUCAAUCCCCAGCUCCG
rfam:Rattus norvegicus chromosome 8, whole genome shotgun sequence.